rnacentral:misc_RNA from 1 species
UUUCCGUAGGUGAACCUGCGGAAGGAUCAUUAGAGAUUUAACACGGGCGUCGAUGCGCGAGCGUCUUCGCCCCAAACACAAACACCUGUGAACAACCCGGACGUGGUCCCUAGGGACCGUGGCCACCUUUUACACCUGUCGUCCUAUGUCUAGAAAGUAUAAACAAAAGAGUAUAACUCUCAACGAUGGAUCUCUUGGCUCUCGCAUCGAUGAAGAACGCAGC